rnacentral:tRNA from 1 species
GGUGGCUCAGUGGUAGAGUGCUUGCCUUGCAUGCAUGAGACCCUGGGUUCAAUUCCUAGCACCA